GAACGCUGGCGGCGUGCCUAAUACAUGCAAGUCGAGCGGACGAUUCAAAAGCUUGCUUUUGAAUCGUUAGCGGCGGACGGGUGAGUAACACGUGGGCAACCUGCCCUGUAGACGGGGAUAACACCGAGAAAUCGGUGCUAAUACCGGAUAACACGAAGAACCGCAUGGUUUUUCGUUGAAAGGCGGCGCAAGCUGUCGCUACAGGAUGGGCCCGCGGCGCAUUAGCUAGUUGGUGAGGUAACGGCUCACCAAGGCGACGAUGCGUAGCCGACCUGAGAGGGUGAUCGGCCACACUGGGACUGAGACACGGCCCAGACUCCUACGGGAGGCAGCAGUAGGGAAUCUUCCGCAAUGGACGAAAGUCUGACGGAGCAACGCCGCGUGAGCGAAGAAGGCCUUCGGGUCGUAAAGCUCUGUUGUUAGGGAAGAACAAGUACCGCAGUCACUGGCGGUACCUUGACGGUACCUAACGAGAAAGCCACGGCUAACUACGUGCCAGCAGCCGCGGUAAUACGUAGGUGGCAAGCGUUGUCCGGAAUUAUUGGGCGUAAAGCGCGCGCAGGCGGUUCCUUAAGUCUGAUGUGAAAGCCCACGGCUCAACCGUGGAGGGUCAUUGGAAACUGGGGGACUUGAGUGCAGAAGAGGAGAGCGGAAUUCCACGUGUAGCGGUGAAAUGCGUAGAGAUGUGGAGGAACACCAGUGGCGAAGGCGGCUCUCUGGUCUGUAACUGACGCUGAGGCGCGAAAGCGUGGGGAGCAAACAGGAUUAGAUACCCCUGGUAGUCCACGCCGUAAACGAUGAGUGCUAAGUGUUAGAGGGUAUCCACCCUUUAGUGCUGUAGCUAACGCAUUAAGCACUCCGCCUGGGGAGU
rnacentral:rRNA from 1 species